rnacentral:rRNA from 1 species
UACGUAGGGUGCGAGCGUUGUCCGGAAUUACUGGGCGUAAAGCGCACGUAGGCGGCGAUUCAAGUCAGAGGUGAAAGCCCGGGGCUCAACUCCGGAACUGCCUUUGAAACUAGAUUGCUAGAAUCUUGGAGAGGCGAGUGGAAUUCCGAGUGUAGAGGUGAAAUUCGUAGAUAUUCGGAAGAACACCAGUGGCGAAGGCGACUCGCUGGACAAGUAUUGACGCUGAGGUGCGAAAGCGUGGGGAGCAAACAGG